UGCCAGCCGCCGCGGUCCUACCGGCAGCCCGAGUGAUGGCCGAUCUUAUUGGGCCUAAAGCGUCCGUAGCUGGCCGCGCAAGUCCAUCGGGAAAUCCACCCGUCCAACGGGUGGCCGUCCGGUGGAAACUGCACGGCUUGGGACCGGAAGGCUCGAAGGGUACGUUCGGGGUAGGAGUGAAAUCCCAUAAUCCCGCACGGACCACCGAUGGCGAAAGCACUUCGAGAAAACGGAUCCGACAGUGAGGGACGAAAGCCAGGGUCUCCAACCGGAUUAGAAACCCUAGUAGUCC
rnacentral:rRNA from 1 species